UUGUUUUCUGAAAUGUAAAAGUGUUUUCUGAAAUGUAAAUUUGUUUUCUGAAAUGUAAAUUUGUUUCGGUACUUGUAAAAGUGUUUUGCACCCCACGGCCACCGUACAAACCUGAGAGUCUGUGUGACGUUGUCCUGCUGUCACCGGAUCAUCACACCGAGGAGCUGAAAUUCAGUUUCCUUAUCCCUCAAUGGAUCCUGAAAAGAGGUUCCUGAGCCACCCGCUAAUGGUUUCCUGCCGAUCGUCUUCCAGGGUUUUCAAUAAACCUUUUGACUCUUACCUGCUGUGUCCUGCUAAACUUUCAGGUCCUCUGAGUUAUUCAUUACAAGAGGUUUGGAGUUGUUUUGUUUGCUUCAUAAUUCUGUAUACUUUUGAUGUCUUUACUAUGUAUUUACAAUGUUGAAAGUAAUAAAUACGGGAAAGCCA